UUUCGUUUAUUAAGUAUAGUUCAUUGGCAGUUGAUUGUACUUCUUUCACCUUCUCUACAUUUUUUUACUUAUUCUACGGUCUCAAAUGUGAUGUCGAUGUAUAUGUGUAUGUGUAUGUGUCGAUAUGCAUUCGAUUAUUGACAUACACUUUUGGAGGGAAGAAAACUGUAGGCGGAGAUGUAAAUAAACGCGCAUUAAUUGAUCAAUUUGGUCUUUUGUCUUUUGCUCGCUAAUAAGUUUGAUUUGUAUAGCGGUUAUCGUAAUUAUGAAAGGAAAUUAUCGUUUCUAUUUUACCAACUUGUCCAUAGCCACGAUCACAGACACAAGAGAGAUGAAUGUAUCAUACAAUAGUACCAAAGUUAUAAAUUAAUUUCGAAUUAAAAAAUUAAAGUUAUUCAAUAUUGAAAACAUUUUAGUAUCACAUAUAACCAUCAAUAUUUUUCAAUUUACGAUGUACUCACUUCUAAAAAUAACAGAGAGAACCUUUUUUUACAAUAAAAUAAAUACAUUUUCGAGCACGCAAGAAGUAAGUACGUGUUGAAUGUAUUAAAUAGUCUGCUUUAAAUUUCUUUAUGUAAUGUAUUAAUUAAUUCCACACAUAUUAUCUAAUUAUUGCACGCAAGAUAUAGACACGUAAUGCUUUGUGAGUCGAACUAUGUUCCAGACAAAGUAGUAUAUAUCCAUAAUUCAUAUUAUGCAACAGAUUAUUGCACAGAUAUAAAUCAAAUAAAAUUAUAAUUGAACUGUUUGAAGAUACACGGUGCAAUAGGAUAAAUUAUGCGAAAGCAAUGUUUGACCUUAAUCGGGUUAAAUUGUCACGUGCGAUUCAAUUUUCGAAUCAAGUCAUAUAAUAAACAAAGUUUCUUUAUUGUAAAUAUUUUUAA